GUGGGGAAUUUUGGACAAUGGGCGCAAGCCUGAUCCAGCGACGCCGCGUGGAGGACGAAGGCCUUCGGGUUGUAAACUCCUUUUGGAGGGGAAGAAUAAAUUGACGGUACCCUCAGAAAAAGCCACGGCUAACUACGUGCCAGCAGCCGCGGUAAUACGUAGGUGGCGAGCGUUACUCGGAAUUACUAGGCGUAAAGCGUAUGUAGGUGGUUAGAUAAGUCUAUGGUGAAAUUUCCUGGCUUAACUGGGAAGGGACAUAGAUACUAUCUGGCUUGAGUGUGGGAGGCGGAGACGUAAUUCCUGGUGUAGCGGUGAAAUGCGUAGAUAUCAGGAGGAACACCGAUGGCGAAAGCAGUCUCCUGGCCCAAUACUGACACUGAGGUACGAAAGCUAGGGUAGCAAACAGGAUUAGAAACCCUUGUAGUCC
rnacentral:rRNA from 1 species